GGUUGACCUCGGAUCAGGUAG
rnacentral:rRNA from 17 species